GAUGAACGCUGGCGGCGUGCCUAAUACAUGCAAGUCGAGCGAACAGACGAGGAGCUUGCUCCUCUGACGUUAGCGGCGGACGGGUGAGUACCACGUGGCUAACCUACCUAUAAGACUGGGAUAACUUCAGGAAACCGGAUCUAAUACCGGAUAAUAUAUUGAACCUCAUGGUUCAAUAGUGAAAGACGGUUUUGCUGUCACUUAUAGAUGGAUCCGCGCCGCAUUAGUUAGUUGGUAAGGUAAAGGCUUACCAAGGCGACGAUGCGUAGCCGACCUGAGAGGAUGAUAAGACAGACGGGAACUGAGACACGGUCCAGACUCCUACGGGAGGCAGCAGUGGGGAAUAUUGGGAAAUGGGCGAAAGCCUGAUCCAGCCAUGCCGCGGAUAUGAAGAAGGUGUUCGGAUGGUAAAGCACUUUAAGUUGGGAGGAAGUGAAGUAAGUUAAUACCUUGCUGUUUUGACGUUACCAGCAGAAUAAGCACCGGCUAACUUCGUG
rnacentral:rRNA from 1 species